rnacentral:rRNA from 1 species
UACAGAGGGUGCGAGCGUUAAUCGGAAUUAUUGGGCGUAAAGCGCACGUAGGUGGUUUAUCAAGUCAGAUGUGAAAGCCCUGGGCUCAACCUGGGAACUGCAUUUGAGACUGGUCGACUAGAGUAUGGGAGAGGGAAGUGGAAUUUCCGGUGUAGCGGUGAAAUGCGUAGAUAUCGGAAGGAACACCAGUGGCGAAGGCGAGUCUCUGGACAUUUCCUGACGCUGAGGCACGAAAGCCAGGGGAGCAAACGGG